rnacentral:rRNA from 1 species
UCCUACGGGAGGCAGCAGUAGGGAAUCCUCCGCAAUGGACGAAAGGCGACGGAGCAACGACGCGUGAACGAAGAAGGCCUUCGGGUCGUAAAGUUGGGUUGUUAGGGAAGAACAAGUACCGUUCGAAUAGGGCGGUACCUUGACAGUCCCUAACCCGAAAGCCACGGCUAACUACGUGCCAGCAGCCGCGGUA